UACCAGACUCCUACGGGAGGCAGCAGUGGGGAAUAUUGCACAAUGGGGGAAACCCUGAUGCAGCGACGCCGCGUGAGUGAAGAAGUAUUUCGGUACGUAAAGCUCUAUCAGCAGGGAAGAAAAAAAGUCCUUUGGACUUUGGACGGUACCUGACUAAGAAGCCCCGGCUCACUACGUGCCAGCAGCCGCGGUAAUACGUAGGGGGCAAGCGUUAUCCGGAUUUACUGGGUGUAAAGGGAGCGUAGACGGCAGAUCAAGUCUGAAGUGAAAGCCCGCGGCCCAACUGCGGGACUGCUUUGGAAACUGCCCGGCUAGAGUGCUGGAGAGGUAAGCUGAAUUCCUAGUGUAGCGGUGAAAUGCGUAGAUAUUAGGAAGAACACCAGUGGCGAAGGCGGCUUGCUGGACAGUAACUGCCGUUGAGGCUCGAAAGCGUGGGGAGCAAACAGGAUUAGAUACCCCUGUAC
rnacentral:rRNA from 1 species